UACGGGGGGGGCAAGCGUUGUUCGGAAUUACUGGGCGUAAAGGGCCAGUAGGCGGCCAACUAAGUCAGACGUGAAAUCCCUCGGCUUAACCGGGGAACUGCGUCUGAUACUGGAUGGCUUGAGAUUGGGAGAGGGAUGCGGAAUUCCAGGUGUAGCGGUGAAAUGCGUAGAUAUCUGGAGGAACACCGGUGGCGAAGGCGGCAUCCUGGACCAACACUGACACUGAGGAGCGAAAGCCAGGGGAGCAAACGGG
rnacentral:rRNA from 1 species